AAAAAAUUAAGGUAUGUAUU
rnacentral:misc_RNA from 1 species